rnacentral:rRNA from 1 species
UACGGAGGGUGCAAGCGUUAUCCGGAUUUACUGGGUUUAAAGGGUGUGUAGGCGGACUAUUAAGUCAGGGGCGAAAUCCCGAGGCUCAACCUCGGAACUGCCUUUGAUACUAUUAGUCUUGAAUGUUGUUGAGGUGGGCGGAACGGGUCAUGUAGCGGUGAAAUGCAUAGAUAUGACCCGGAACACCGAUUGCGAAGGCAGCCCGCUAAGCAACUAUUGACGCUGAGGCACGAAAGCGUGGGGAUCAAACAGG